rnacentral:snoRNA from 1 species
CCCAGCCAGAUUCCUUACCAAUCAGACCUAAAUACUGGUCCGCGUGGGUAUACAAGGAGGACAAAUAAAAGUGACAGGGACUUACACGCUUUUGUGACACACGAGCUAGUUUCAAACAAAA